CCUACGGGAGACAGCAGUGGGGGAUAUUGCACAAUGGGGGAAACCCUGAUGCAGCGACGCCGCGUGGGCGAAGAAGUAUUUCGGUAUGUAAAGUUCUUUCAGCAGGGAAGAAGAUGAUGGUACUUGAUCAAGAAGCCCCCGCUAACUACGUGCCAGCAGCCGCGGUAAUACGUAGGGGGCAAGCGUGAUCCGGAUUUACGGGGUGUAGAGGUGGCGCAGACGGCACUGCAAGCCAGAAGUGAAAGCCCCGGGCUCAACCACGGGACUGCUCUUGAAACUGGAUGGCUGGAGUACUGGAGGGGCAGGCGGAAUUCCUAGUGUAGCGGUGAAAUGCGUAGAUAUUAGGAGGAACACCGGUGGCGAAGGCGGCCUGCUGGACUGUGACUGACGUUGAGGCGCGAAAGCGUGGGGAGCAAACAGGAUUAGAUACCCCUGUAGUC
rnacentral:rRNA from 1 species